rnacentral:misc_RNA from 1 species
UUUCCGUAGGUGAACCUGCGGAAGGAUCAUUAAUGAGUUGUCAUGGGGUUCGAUGCUGGCAGCCAGUUUUUGGAUGCAUGUGCUUGCCCUAACAAUCAUCUUCUUCCAAACACCUGUGCACAUUUUUGAGGGAGUCUUGAGUUGGUUGCCGCUCUUGGGUGAUUUUCUCACAUUCCCUUAAAUCAUUAUACGCUAUUAACAAUGUUGAACGUGCUCUGUGCCGCAAGGCCAUUAAUAUAAUACAACUUUUAACAACGGAUCUCUUGGCUCUCGCAUCGAUGAGAACGCAGC